UCUCCGUUGGUGAACCAGCGGAGGGAUCAUUACUGGAAUCGCAAGAUCCCACAACCCUGUGAACCUACCGAAACGUUGCCUCGGCGGGUGCCCGGCCCCCGCGCCGGGCGCUGCGCCCGCCGGCGGCCCCCUACUUUGUCUCUGCAGCGUGGCAUCUCAGAGUCCCAGAAAACAAGUCAAAACUUUCAACAACGGAUCUCUUGGCUCUA
rnacentral:misc_RNA from 1 species